GGAGGCGUGCAAGGUACCAGCCCCAGAUCAGAAAAACAUUAUCGCAGCUGCGAUAAAGAAUGGAGCCAGAUCCCAAACUACAGGACACUUGGCAGCCUCCAUUGAAACCGGGAGAGUGAAGCAGAGGACUGGGUCCACGGUGUUUGCGGUUGUUUUUAUAGGCAAAGGAGGAAUCUGGACCAAUACUUUCAGCAAAUGCAUCAUGCUGUCAUCCAGAUGUGCUCCUCUUCGUAAUCGCAGCCAUUCUGACUUCUUGACUACACUCGCAGUGACUGGAGCUGCCCAGUUCAGCUUCCCCUGCUGGCGAUGCAGAGAUGCAGUGAGGUACAGCUCUGCGGUGCGUUAAGUAUUCAUGUCGGCAACCCUGCAAGACUCCAUGUGCAGGAGGAAGUGGGGAGGAAAUGGAGAGAG
rnacentral:lncRNA from 1 species